AAUAGCGUUGAUGAUAUCAUAUCGGCGAAACUGUUGCUGAUCUCCACAUCUGGGAUUUGUAUACUUUUCGCUCCGCCAUGCGAGUGAGUGUUGUGAUCACGUGGCUUCCUGUUUAUAUCUGGUAUAUUGCUUGUCACCAGCAGACGACAGAUCUUACAGAUUUUUUGCUAUAUUUGGUUAUAUAGGCAAUUGAUUUGCAUCUGAAGUGGUAUUAACGAUCUCGGCAAGGGCGAAUAUGAGACAAGCAUUCCAGGAUAUACAAACACAUGAUGGAUUUAUGGAGGAAUACAUCAAAUAAUCCAGGAGCUGUGAAUUAUAAAUAUGGAUGACUGCAAAAGCAAAGAAGAAGAUAAUGAAACAAACUGAAAAUGUGUACACGUUUCCAGAAUUAUUAAUAAAAUUGUUGAUUACAA